AGCUUUGUGCAGUGACAGUAUCGUAGCCAAUGAGGUUUAUCCGUGCGAUUAUUGCUAAUUGAAAAAUAUGAAAUAAAAUUUUCCUGAGCAUAUGAGUCAGUAGACCACAGUAUGGUGUUUCAAGAGAACAAUAUGUAGCAGCUUCAAUACACUUAAUUCUUACUUAUAUGAGG
rnacentral:snRNA from 2 species